rfam:Trachymyrmex cornetzi contig38344, whole genome shotgun sequence.
AAAACGGCCCUUUUCAGGGCCAUACACAAGUGUAUAUAGAUCAGU